AUUGAACGCUGGCGGCAGGCCUAACACAUGCAAGUCGAACGGUAACAGGAAGAAGCUUGCUUCUUUGCUGACGAGUGGCGGACGGGUGAGUAAUGUCUGGGAAACUGCCUGAUGGAGGGGGAUAACUACUGGAAACGGUAGCUAAUACCGCAUAAUGUCGCAAGACCAAAGAGGGGGACCUUCGGGCCUCUUGCCAUCGGAUGUGCCCAGAUGGGAUUAGCUAGUAGGUUGGGUAACGGCUCACCUAGGCGACGAUCCCUAGCUGGUCUGAGAGGAUGACCGGCCACACUGGAACUGAGACACGGUCCAGACUCCUACGGGAAGCAGCAGUGGGGAAUAUUGCACAAAGGGCGCAAGCCUGAUGCGGCUAUGCCGCGUGUAUGAAGAAGGCCUUCGGGUUGUAAAGUACUUUCAGCGGGGAGGAAGGGAGUAAAGUUAAUACCUUUGUUCAUUGACGUUACCCGCAGAAGAAGCACCGGCUAACUCCGUG
rnacentral:rRNA from 1 species